CUUAGAUCAUAGAUAUUAGAUAAUAGAAAUGGUCUUCUAAUAUCAUGUAUAAUAUCUUUCUGUUAUCUAAGAUAUCUUCUUUACAUCGUGGUUAUAGAUAUAAAUGGUUGUGAGAUGAGGAAAAAUAUUUGUCAUUUGACCGCAUAGACCUUUUACUAAUAGACGAGCCUUUGUACACGUAGAACGAUCAUAGAUAGAGGGCGCUCUCCACUUGUGACUUGUGACCACUAAACUCUAUACAUUGGAAAAUGUAGGAAAAAUGGGUAAAUUCAAAAUAAGGUUGGUUAGGUUAGGUUUAAAUCUUUUUCACAUGAAAACGCUGAUUGUUUAAUUUUGUUAGGUAAAAUUUUCAAAAUAUUUGAGCCACUUUAAAGCUAUUUAUAGACAUUUUAACUUUGCGAGUUUUUUACUUGGUAAGUUCUCGAUGAAUAAAAUCGUUUAGAGUAUUAUAAUAUAACGACCUUUCAAAAUAUUAUAAUCCAACCACGUUCCGUAUCGUUUUUCAUAAGUAAUAGCUUAUCAAUUAUCAUUGCUUACUGACAUAAAUUAAUUUCACCUCUAUAUCCUAAUUCCUAACUUCUCACCUUCAUCAGUGAACCACCAGUUGUGCGAAGUUUGUCCGUUUUUUACAGGACGUCCUGAUUACUCAGUAUGAUUAUUUAUUAACGAUCACGGACUAAGAUAUUCCAUUGUAUACAAUAUGAGUAUAUGCAUGGCUAAAUAAAAUGUAAUAAGAUAUACAUUCUAUGUUAUGAAUUUUUAAAAAUAAUGUACAUAUUACAUAUUGUACGUACAUAUUAUUUCUUUCUUAUUUACAAUUUAAUAAAAUAAAUAUAUUCCAUGUAAGUACCAUGUAUAUAUUUAUAUAUAUUGAAUUUUGG